AUGGGUAUGGGUUCCAAGAUGAAGCGUAGCAGCAGCGGCAACCUUGUUAUGUCAUGCGUAGUCCUUUCCCUAGCCCUGCUCGUCGUCAGGGCAGCGGCGGUGGCGAGGAACAGCCCAGACUCCUGCUGCAAGGAGCAGUGUAGCGGCCGUCAGGACUACAAACCUUGCCACGCCGCGUGCUGGUGGGGCAUGCAUCUGAGAGACCUGCCAAACUGCCACCUGCGCUGCCGCUACGCGAAACACUACGACACAUGCUUCGAACAGUGCAAAAAAGAACAAGAAGGAAGUGGGGGAAGAGUUGGGCUACUUGCGGCACCGGCAGAGGGACAAAACCAAGGAGAAGAAGCCAAACCAGGAGGAGCAGCUGGGCUCCUGGAGAUGCCAACGGAGCUUGCCGGAUGA
rnacentral:rRNA from 1 species